rnacentral:piRNA from 1 species
UUAUCUAGUGCAUCUUUUGUUCUGAUUAUU